rnacentral:rRNA from 1 species
UACGUAGGGUGCAAGCGUUGUCCGGAAUUACUGGGCGUAAAGCGCACGUAGGCGGAUUUGUAAGUCAGGGGUGAAAUCCCGGGGCUCAACCCCGGAACUGCCUUUGAUACUGCAAAUCUCGAGUCCGGAAGAGGUGAGUGGAAUUCCUAGUGUAGAGGUGAAAUUCGUAGAUAUUAGGAAGAACACCAGUGGCGAAGGCGGCUCACUGGUCCGGUACUGACGCUGAGGUGCGAAAGCGUGGGGAGCAAACAGG